rnacentral:rRNA from 1 species
AGAGUUUGAUCCUGGCUCAGGAUGAACGCUAGCUACAGGCUUAACACAUGCAAGUCGAGGGGCAGCAUGGUCUUAGCUUGCUAAGGCCGAUGGCGACCGGCGCACGGGUGAGUAACGCGUAUCCAACCUGCCUUACACUCUUGGACAGCCUUCUGAAAGGGAGAUUAAUACAAGAUGUUAUCAUGAGUAAGCAUUUUCGCAUGAUUAAAGGUUUACCGGUGUAAGAUGGGGAUGCGUUCCAUUAGAUAGUAGGCGGGGUAACGGCCCACCUAGUCUUCGAUGGAUAGGGGUUCUGAGAGGAAGGUCCCCCACAUUGGAACUGAGACACGGUCCAAACUCCUACGGGAGGCAGCAGUGAGGAAUAUUGGUCAAUGGGCGAGAGCCUGAACCAGCCAAGUAGCGUGAAGGAUGACUGCCCUAUGGGUUGUAAACUUCUUUUAUAAAGGAAUAAAGUCGGGUAUGGAUACCCGUUUGCAUGUACUUUAUGAAUAAGGAUCGGCUAACUCCGUGCCAGCAGCCGCGGUAAUACGGAGGAUCCGAGCGUUAUCCGGAUUUAUUGGGUUUAAAGGGAGCGUAGAUGGAUGUUUAAGUCAGUUGUGAAAGUUUGCGGCUCAACCGUAAAAUUGCAGUUGAUACUGGAUAUCUUGAGUGCAGUUGAGGCAGGCGGAAUUCGUGGUGUAGCGGUGAAAUGCUUAGAUAUCACGAAGAACUCCGAUUGCGAAGGCAGCUUACUAACCUGUAACUGACAUUGAUGCUCGAAAGUGUGGGUAUCAAACAGGAUUAGAUACCCUGGUAGUCCACACGGUAAACGAUGAAUACUCGCUGUAGGCGAUAUACAGUCUGCGGCCAAGCGAAAGCAUUAAGUAUUCCACCUGGGGAGUACGCCGGCAACGGUGAAACUCAAAGGAAUUGACGGGGGCCCGCACAAGCGGAGGAACAUGUGGUUUAA